rnacentral:rRNA from 1 species
CCUACGGGAGGCAGCAGUGAGGAAUAUUGGUCAAUGGACGCGAGCCUGAACCAGCCAAGUCGCGUGAAGGAAGACUGUCCUAUGGGUUGUAAACCUCUUUUAUAGGGGAACAAAAUACGCCACGUGUGGCAUUCCGCGUGUACCCUAUGAAUAAGCAUCGGCUAACUCCGUGCCAGCAGCCGCGGUAAUACGGAAGAUCCGAGCGUUAUCCGGAUUUAUUGGGUUUAAAGGGGGCGUAGGCGGAAAUUUAAGUCAGGCGUGAAAAUUUGGGGCUCAACCUUUACAGUGCGGUGGAAACUGGAAGUCUUGAGUGAGCGAGAGGUAGGCGGAAUUCGUGGUGUAGCGGUGAAAUGCUUAGAUAUCACGAAGAACUCCGAUUGCGAAGGCAGCAUACUGGAGCGCAACUGACGCUGAGGCUCGAAAGUGUGGGUAUCGAACAGGAUUAGAUACCCCUGUAGUC